CCGUCGCAACGUGGAAAUCGAAAACUUUUUAACAGAGAUUUAUGUCGAAAUUGCUAUCAGAUUUGAUAAUUGCGCUCAGAGGUCGCGCUUUUCUAUGCGCCAGGCGCCGCCAGCCAUGUACAGGCCGCCACACAGGCGCCGACGCAUUCAUUUGCUGAUGCGCAAUAAGCCUCGCAUGGGCAUUUGACCGCAUCCGACGACGCCUCCGCUGGCUUAUUGGAUUGUGCUGCCGCUUCUUAUGGACACCACUAUGCAGACAGGAGUCGCUGCAUAUAAAAGUGUCGUGCGCAUGGUGUGCAUUUUGGAUUCCAUAUGGGCCACGCUCAGUCGGCCAGUUUGGACUUCUUCGAGGCCGGAGCAUGGCCAUUGACCAUUGCAGCUCCGUCUGCAGGGGCGCCCGCACGAGUUCCGCGUGUGCUGGGAGGCAGGUAUGGCUGCUGUGAAAAACAUCGGAUAUGGCCCAGCCACAGCCAGUGCCUCCUGGCCGAUACGCUGCUGCUGCCACUGCCGCUUGUCAGGCAGCAGCUCAUCUUGGAGCGGCCCUUGCAGUCGCCUCCGAAUUGACGCCAUUUGGCGUCGAUUGUCGUUGCUGCAAAUCAUGCUCGG
rnacentral:misc_RNA from 1 species